AAAUUCGUCUGUAGUGCAUAUACUAAAACUGGAACGAUGCAGAGAAGCUUGGCGUGGCCCCUGCGCAAGGAUGGCAUGCAAUAUCGUGAAGCGUUAGUACGUAAG